rnacentral:rRNA from 1 species
UCUGGCUCAGGAUGAACGCUGGCGGCGUGCUUAACACAUGCAAGUCGAACGGAGUUUUAACGGAAGUUUCGGAUGGAAGUUUAAGAACUUAGUGGCGGACGGGUGAGUAACGCGUGGGUAACCUGCCUCAUACAGGGGGAUAACAGUUAGAAAUGACUGCUAACACCGCAUAAUAUAGUGAAACCGCAUGAUUUUUGCUAUCAAAUAUUUAUAGGUAUGAGAUGGGCCCGCGUCUGAUUAGCUAGUUGGUGGGGUAAAAGCCUACCAAGGCGACGAUCAGUAGCCGGCUUGAGAGAGUGACCGGCCACAUUGGGACUGAGACACGGCCCAAACUCCUACGGGAGGCAGCAGUGGGGAAUAUUGGACAAUGGGGGAAACCCUGAUCCAGCCGACGCCGCGUGAGUGAAGAAGUAUUUCGGUAUGUAAAGCUCUAUCAGCAGGGAAGAUAAUGACAGUACCUGACUAAGAAGCCCCGGCUAACUACGUGCCAGCCGCGGC